GUGCCAGCAGCCGCGGUAAUACGUAGGUGGCAAGCGUUAUCCGGAAUUAUUGGGCGUAAAGCGCGCGCAGGCGGUUUCUUAAGUCUGAUGUGAAAGCCCACGGCUCAACCGUGGAGGGUCAUUGGAAACUGGGGAACUUGAGUGCAGAAGAGAAAAGCGGAAUUCCACGUGUAGCGGUGAAAUGCGUAGAGAUGUGGAGGAACACCAGUGGCGAAGGCGGCUUUUUGGUCUGUAACUGACGCUGAGGCGCGAAAGCGUGGGGAGCAAACAGGAUUAGAUACCCUGGUAGUCCACGCCGUAAACGAUGAGUGCUAAGUGUUAGAGGGUUUCCGCCCUUUAGUGCUGCAGCUAACGCAUUAAGCACUCCGCCUGGGGAGUACGGUCGCAAGACUGAAACUCAAAGGAAUUGACGGGGGCCCGCACAAGCGGUGGAGCAUGUGGUUUAAUU
rnacentral:rRNA from 1 species